rnacentral:tRNA from 1 species
UGGGAUUUAGCUCAGCGGCAUAGCACCUGCCUUGCAAGCAUGUGGUUGUGAGUUCAAUCCCAA